ensembl:snoRNA
CCGAUACAGUGAUGAUAACAUAGUUCAGCAGACUUAACAGUGGUGAACAACACUUGUGUCUUUCGCUCCUAUCUGAUGUAUCUG